GGCCAAGUCAAAGGCAAUUAUGGCCAAAUAUGACCUGGAGGCUCGCCAAGCUAUGCAGGAACAGUUGUCUAAGAACAAAGAACUGACACAGAAACUCCAGGUAGCCUCUGAGAGUGAGGAAGAGGAGGGAGGCACAGAAGAUGUGGAAGAACUCCUUGUCCCUGAUGUAGUGAAUGAAGUGCAGAUGAAUGCAGAUGGGCCAAAUCCCUGGAUGCUCAGGAGCUGCACCAGUGACACCAAAGAGGCUGCAACCCAGGAGGACCCUGAGCAACUGCCAGAGCUUGAGGCCCAUGGAGUUUCUGAAAGUGAGGGAGAAGAAAGACCAAUGGCAGAAGAAGAAAUUUUGUUGAGAGAAUUUGAGGAAAGGCGAUCCCUUAGAAAAAGAUCUGAGCUCAGCCAGGAUGCUGAGCCAGCAGGCAGUCAAGAAACAAUAGGUGAGCUGUGAUCAAAUGGAAGAGGGAAAUUCCUAGUGCUGUGGACAGACUAUGGGAGAAAAAAAAAAUGUGUCCACCCACACACAAAACUGCAUAGUGAUUAGGCUCUGGGGACUUGCAAGAGUGCGUACACUGGAUCCCUGAAGAGAAAUUAGAUUCAUAACUAUUUUUCUUCGAAGACAUUUAAUAAGCAGUCAUCUGCAUGGCCGUGCAACGUGGUUCAGGCACAUUUUCUGUUCUUGGGGGCUUACAGCCUUCAGAAACCCAUAAUAACUAAACCAUCCUCGAAGUCAGGGUAUGAGUUAGCGUUCCUGGUACCUACACACCAGGGAGAAGUACGUAUGGUAGAAUGGCAAAUCUGAAAGUCCAUUCACACCUGUAGACACAGAUAGGUCAAUUUUGAGACAUUAGGAAACAUUUUCUAAUUGCUGGAUUUUUUUGUUUUGUUGGUUAAGUAGGAGUGGCAUUUUUAGCACUUCUUAAUGCUAGUUUAUGUGUGUAUACAUGGGGUGAGACUUUACGGAAUGAAUGACUCCACAGGGCUACAUGGCAAAUUAGAAUUGUGACUCCAUACUCAGGCUCUAUUUGUAUGUUAUAUUUUCUACCUGUUAUCUUGAAGAGAUCUUAUUAACAAUGUUAGCACCUGUGAGAUUGGUCAGAGAGUUCCCAUUCUGGCAAUAAACCAGGACACUAAAAAACCUGCCUAGGAAACUAGCUACAUUGAGAAAUCACUUGGCUAUCUGGACAAAUUACCAGGUCUGGUUUGGUUUCACAUAGGAAUGCAUUUAGAUGAUGGCAAAAAUCUGGUUUUACAUGGCAAAAAAAUUAUUUUUUUCUACUUUUUUUUGUUUAAGAGACAGGGUUUUGCUCUGUCAUCCAGGCUGGAGUACAGCAGUGCAAUCAUACCUUACUGCAGCCUAAGACCUCCCAGGCUCAAGCGAUCCUCUUGGCUCAGCCUCCCAACUAGCUGGGACUACAUGCAUGUGCCACCAUGCUGAGCUAAGUUUUUGUAGAGACUGAGGUCUUGCUCUGUUGCCCAGGCUGGUCUUGAAUUCCUGGCCUCAAGCUAUCCUCUCACCUCAGCCUCCCAAAGUGUUAGGAUUACAAGUGUGAGCCACCGCACCCAGCCUCCUUUUUUUUUUCAGGUUUCCACAUACAAAAAUUUAUUUUAAAAGAGCUAUCAUUUAGAAUGUAUUAUAGGGACCUUUACUUAAUAGUUUUGGCUGGAUAUUUCUGGGAUUAAUAAUUGCAAGUAGUCACUUCUGAGAGAAUUUUGGAAAGCAGCACAGCGGGCUGAGAUUGUGGGGGUGUACAUAUAUGACCACAGGACCCUAGUGGCUUUCUCUUGAGCCCCCUCAACAACUGGCCAUCUAGCUAAAUGUGCAGAGCGGCUGACUGUGAUAUGAAAGAAUGAAAGAUAGAUUUGCAUUUCCUUGGACAGUAAAUAAAUUGAAUUUUCUCAC
rnacentral:sRNA from 1 species